UGGCUCUUGCAACGAUGAAGAACGCAGCGAAAUGCGAUACGUAGUGUGAAUUGCAGAAUAUUGUGAAUCAUCGAGUUUUUGAACGCAAGUUGCGCCCGAGGCUCGUCCGAGGGCAUUUCCGCUAGAGCGUCACCGCGACCCCCCACCGUCUCCCCCCCUCCCAGCGAGUCGGGGCGAUGAGUGGAAGUGGCCGUCCCAGUCGGAGCGCGCGCCAGUGCGUCCCCGAGACUGGGUCGGCUGAAAUGGAAGGAAUUCGGCCGCCGUGGCGAACGCAGUCCGCGAUCGGGUGAGAUCCGGGGCUCCUUGUCGGGCCCGGGCUUUUUCUUUCAGUGCGCGAUUGCGUUCCCCCAGUUGGUCGUUGCCCCGUGCAGGUCCCCGCGCGCGCCUUCGGGCGCGCGCUCGCGUCACGCAUCAGACCUCUAAUCGGAAAAGACUACCCGCUGA
rnacentral:misc_RNA from 1 species